rnacentral:misc_RNA from 1 species
GCUCUCCUCCUUCUGCUCAAUAGAAGAGAUGAUCCUCCACGAUGCCCUCCGAGCACCAAUCACGUUCUUGUAAGCCACAGAAAGCAGGUUCCGCUCCUCAACGGUGAGCUCACCAACAUCAGUGGUCUUUGCCACCUUCUCCAUGAAUUCGACCAUUUCCUCGUAACGCUCAGCCUGCUCGGCAAGCUUUGCCAUGUACACAUUCUCCUCACGCGAUGCCUCAGCAGGCGACAUUUUUCCUCUCCUUUGUUCUUCAACGCAAACUUAGUCUGACCUUGUGCACCUUUCCUCCUCCUUCCCCCUCGCGCUUUCCCUCUGCUCUCCUCACGAGCUCGCUCUUCCCAACCCGCGCGGGAUUUGUUCGCUGCGGCUGUGGGAGUCCGGGGAGAUCGGGGGGAAGAGCGG